rnacentral:rRNA from 1 species
UACCAGCUCUCCGAGUGGUGGGGACAUUUAUUGAGCCUAAAGCGCCCGUAGCCUGCUCGGCAAGUCUUCCGUUAAAUCCAACGAUCCAAUCGUUGGACUGCGGGAGAUACUGUCAGGCUAGGGGGCGGGAGAAGCCGACGGUACUCUUAGGGUAGGGGUGAAAUCCUAUAAUCCUAGGAGGACCACCAGUGGCGAAGGCGGUCGGCUAGAACGCGCCCGACGGUGAGGGACGAAAGCUGGGGGAGCGAACCGGAUUAGAUACCCGGGUAGUCCCAGCUGUAAACGAUGCAGGCUAGGUGUUGGAGUGAUCACGAAUCACUCCAGUGCCGCAGGGAAGCUGAUAAGCCUGUCGCUUGGGGAGUACGGUCGCAAGACUGAAACUUAAAGGAAUUGGCGGGGGAGCACCACAAGGGGUGAAGCUUGCGGUUCAAUUGGAGUCAACACCGGAAAUCUUACCGGGGGCGACAGCAGUAUGAAGGCCAGAUUGAAGGUCUUGCUGGACGAGCUGAGAGGAGGUGCAUGGCCGUCGCCAGUUCGUGCCGUGAGGUGUCCUGUUAAGUCAGGCAACGAUCGAGACCCACACCUCUUGUUGCCAGCGGCACCCCGGAAGGGGGCCGGGCAAACUAGAGGGACCGCCGCCGAUAAGGUGGAGGAAGGAGUGGGCCACGGCAGGUCAGUAUGCCCCGAAUCUCCCGGGCCACACGCGAGCUGCAAUGGCAGGGACAAUGGGUUCCGACCUCGAAAGGGGGAGGUAAUCUUUAAACCCUGCCUCAGUUGGGAUCGAGGGCUGUAACUCGCCCUCGUGAACAUGGAAUCCCUAGUAAUCGCGCGUCACUAGCGCGCGGUGAAUACGUCCCCGCUCCU